UCGAGCGGUAGAGAGAGCUUGCUUCUCUUGAGAGCGGCGGACGGGUGAGUAAUGCCUAGGAAUCUGCCUGGUAGUGGGGGAUAACGUUCGGAAACGGACGCUAAUACCGCAUACGUCCUACGGGAGAAAGCAGGGGACCUUCGGGCCUUGCGCUAUCAGAUGAGCCUAGGUCGGAUUAGCUAGUUGGUGGGGUAAUGGCUCACCAAGGCGACGAUCCGUAACUGGUCUGAGAGGAUGAUCAGUCACACUGGAACUGAGACACGGUCCAGACUCCUACGGGAGGCAGCAGUGGGGAAUAUUGGACAAUGGGCGAAAGCCUGAUCCAGCCAUGCCGCGUGUGUGAAGAAGGUCUUCGGAUUGUAAAGCACUUUAAGUUGGGAGGAAGGGCGUUACCUAAUACGUGAUGGUUUGACGUUACCGACAGAAUAGCACCGGCUACUUCUGUGCAGCAGCCGCGUAAUACAGAGGGUGC
rnacentral:rRNA from 1 species